CUUCCGGAAGGGGAACCUGCGGAAGGAUCAUUA
rnacentral:rRNA from 1 species